rnacentral:rRNA from 1 species
GUGAGGAAUUUUGCGUAAUGGGGGCAACCCUGACGCAGCGACGCCGCGUGGAGGACGAAGUCUUUCGGGAUGUAAACUCCUGUCAGUGGGGACGAUAAUGACGGUACCCACAGAGGAAGCACCGGCUAACUCCGUGCCAGCAGCCGCGGUAAGACGGAGGGUGCAAGCGUUGUUCGGAAUUACUGGGCGUAAAGCGUAUGUAGGCGGCAAGUUAAGUUCAAUGUUAAAGCCCACGGCUCAACCGAGGAGAUGCAUUGAAUACUGGCUAGCUAGAGGGUGUUAGAGGAAGACGGAAUUCCCAGUGUAGCGGUGAAAUGCGUAGAUAUUGGGAGGAACAUCGGUAGCGAAAGCGGUCUUCUGGGACAUACCUGACGCUGAGGUACGAAAGCGUGGGGAGCAAACGGGAUUAGAUACCCCUGUAGUCC